CCCAUGUCAGAUUUGCUCUAAAUGCUUUGGUUUUUGAGUUAUAAGCCAAAAACUGCAUUUUACCCCUAUGUUCUAUUUUUAGCCAUGGCAGCCAUCUUGGUUGGUUGGCGGGUCACGCCACACAUUUUUUAAACUAUAUACCCCAAAAAUAAUUGUGGCUAAGUUUGGUUAAGUUUGGCCCAGUAGUUUCAGAGGAGAAGAUUUUUGUAAAAGAUUACAAAAAUUUACGAAAAAUUGGUCAAAAUUGACUAUAAAGGGCAAUAACUCCUUAAGGGGUCAUCUGACCAUUUUAGUCAUUUCAACUUAUUUGUAGAUCUUACUUUGCUGAACAUUAUUGCUGAUUACAUUUUAUCUCUUUCUAUAAUAAUAUUCAAG
rnacentral:lncRNA from 1 species